rnacentral:tRNA from 1 species
CUGGGUGUAGCGCAGUCUGGUAGCGCACUUGCAUGGGGUGCAAGAGGUCGCUGGUUCAAGUCCAGUCACCCAGA